UAGCCUUAAAGAAUUUGUGGUCUGUGAUAGAUUAUAUGAAUUUCUAAUAAUAUGUAGGCUUGAGAAAGCCACAUUUGUUUUUCUGUCUUUGGUGGGUAAGUGGCAGUUGGGGAGAGAGAGAGGGAGAGGGAGAGAGAGAUAAUACUGCAUAUAGUAUAUUUUUUGUCAUAUAGUAUAUUUUUUUAACAUAGAAUAUGAAAUAUUAAAAAGUCUCUUUGUUCAGUUAUAUUUCUUAGCUGUGUACAGUUUGUAAGCAUGUAUUUGUGUUGCUAUAAAUGGAUUUAAAAAGUAAUACAGAUAAGUCAAAGCUAAUUGAAUGAUUAAUCUAUGUGAGCUCAAUAUGUGAAUAGAAAUCAAUGCUGUUACAUGGUUGGAAAGUAGAGUAUAGUACUCGUUUUAAUAAAGAUUAAUUUUAACUUGUUGAAUUUUAAAUUCUGGUAUUUAAAUUAAAAUAUUUUUCAAAAGACCACAAUUAUAAAAUGAAAAUUAAAUGUGGGUUAGGAGUAAAAAUAUGUACUAAAAUGGUCUUUAUUGCAAAGGAAAUAAUUGAGAGAAAUAGUUAAAGCCUUGAAAAUUAGUUCAGUCUCUUCUUAAGGGGAAAAUCUUGAAGGAGUAAAACAGGGUUAAACUGAACUGGGCAAGAAGUAUAUUUGGAAAAAUAAUCAAAGAUGAAUAUGUAAAGUGCAGAAAAGUUAAUACAGAGAUAUUAAAGUCAAGAAAAACAAACACAUUGGGAUCAAUAGAAAGCAUGAAAGAGAAGAACUUCAUAAGGAAGGUAUAGUAACUGUCACCCCAUGUAAAGAACAGGUGAAAGAAUGACAGGCUUAAGUUUGAAGGCAUACUUGAUAAACUUUGAGAGUGACAUUUUAGUAGAGUCACAGAAAAUAAACCACAAAAGAGAACUUCAAGACAACUUUAUAGGAUACUGUUUCUUUGUUGUAGUUUAUUAACACUAUAUAACAAGUUCCUCUCAUUGGUCUUAUAUCUGCCUUAUAAUCUUUUUAUAAUCCUAUAUGACUCCAACCUUUAAAAACGAAAUCUUACUUUCUUCAAAAUCACAAUAGAAAUAAAAUAAAAAGAAAAAGAGAGGAAGAAAGGAAGGAAAAAAUAAAGUACUGAUUUAUAUAUGCUCUGGUUUAUUUCAGUUUAAGAAAAAAAAAAUCCCCUCUGACUCCACUUCCCCUCUGGCUACUUUGUACGAUUUUCCCCUCUUGACAGUUAAAGUUGUUAGCUAUAUAUACGUACUAUCUUUUUGUCUAUAAUGUAGAAAUACAAAUUUAUAUGUUUAGAAUUCCAUACAAGUGUAUAUUUUACACUGUGAAAAUAUCCCUCAUAACCUCUACUUUUCUUUUUCUUGUACUCCUAGUUUUCUUUUUUAUUAUCAUUCUUUUUUAUUUUUUUAGAUAUUUUCUUCAUUUACAUUUCAAGUACUAUCCCUUUCCUAGUUUCCUCUCCAAAACCCCCUAUUCGCUCCUCUCUCCCCCUGCUCCCCAACCCACCCACUCCCACUCCCACUCCCUGGCCCUGGCAUUCCCCUAUACUGGGACAUAGAAUCUUCACAAGAUCAUGGGGUUCUCCUCCCAUAGAUGACCAACUAUGCAAUCCUCUGUUACAUAUGCAGCUAGAGACACUAGUCCACCAUGUGUUUUCUUUGAUUGGUGGUUUAGUGCCAGGGAGCUCUAGGGGUACUGGUUAGUUCAUAUUGUUUCUUCUCCUACGAGGCUACAGACCCCUUCAUCUCCUUGGGUACUUUCUCUAGCUCCUUCAUUGGGGACCCUGUGCUCCAUCCAAUAAAUGACUGUGAGCAUCUGCUUCUGUAUUUGCCAGGCACUGGCAUAGCCUCACAGUAGACAGCUAUAUCAGGGUCCUGCCAUCAAAAUCUUGUUGGCAUCUGCAAUAAUGUCUGGGUUUUGUGGUUGUUUAUGGGAUGGGUCCCCAGGACGGGCAUCUCUGGGUGGUCCUUCCUUCAGUCUCAGCUCCAAUCAUUGUCUUUGUAAAUCCUUCUAUUGGUAUUUUGUUCCCCAUUCUAAGAAGGAUGGAAAUAUCCACACUUUGGUCUUCUUCUUGAGUUUUCUGUGUUUUUCAAAUUGUAUUUUGGGUAUUCUGAGAUUCUGGGCUAAUAUCCACUUAUCAGUGGGUGCAUAUCAUGCAUGUUCUUUUGUGAUUGUGUUACAACAUUUAGGAUGAUAUCCUCAGAUCCAUCCAUUUGUCUUAAGAAUUUCAUGAAUUCAUUGUUUUUAAUAGGUGAGUAGUACACCAUUAUGUAAAUGUACCACAUUUUCUGUAUCCAUUCCUCUGUUGAGGGGCAUCUGGGUUCUUUCCAGCUUCUGGCUAUUAUAAAUAAGGCUGCUAUGAACAUAGUGGAGCAUGUAUCCUUAUUACAAGUUAGAACAUCUGGGUAUAUACCUAGGAGUGGUAUUGCUGGACCUUCGGGUAGAACUAUGUCCAGUUUUUCUGAGGAGCCGCCAAACUUAUUUCCAGAGUGGUUGUACCAGCUUGCAAUCCCACCAGAAAUGGAGGACUGUUGCUCUUUCUCCACAUCCUCACCAGCAUCUGCUGUCACCUGAAUUUUUUAUCUUAGCCAUUCUGACUGGUGUGAGGUGGAAUCUCAGGGUUGUUUUGAUUAGCAUUUCCCUGAUGGUUAAGGAUGUUAAACAUUUUUUUCAGGUGCUUCUCAGCCAUUUGGUAUUCCUCAGUUGAGGAUUCUUUGUUUAGCUCUGUACCUCAUUUUUUAAUAGGGUUUUGGUUUUCUGGAGUUUAACUUCUUGAGUUCUUUAUAUAUAUUGGAUAUUAAUCCCCUAUCACAUUUAGGAUUGAUAAAGAUAUUUUCCUAAUCUGUUGGUUGCAUUUUUGUUUUAUUGACUGUCCUUUGCCUUACAGAAGCUUUGAAAUUUUAUGAGGUCCCAUUUGUUGAUUUUUGGUCUUACAGCACAAGCCAUUGCCGUUCUGUUAAGGAAUUUUUCCCCUGUGCCCAUGUCUUCAAGGCUCUUCCCCAAUUUCUCUUCUAUAAGUUUCAGUGUCUCUGGUUUCAUGUGGAGUUCCUUGAUUCAGUUAGACUUGAGCUUUGUCCAAUGAGAUAAGAAUGAAUCAAUUUGCACUCUUCUAUAUGAUAACCACCAGUUGAGCCAACACCAUUUGUUGAAAAUGCUGUCUUUUUUCCACUGGAUGGUUUUAGCUUCUUUGUCAAAGAUCAAGUGACUUUAGGUGUGUCUGGAUCUUCAAUUCUAUUCCAUUGAUCUACCUGUCUUUUGCUGUACCAUACUCACUGUCUUUAUGUCUACAAGUCAAUGAUUUUCUCCCCUAAAUUAGUCUUACUAAAACUAUUAAUGACUCAUGUCAUUGUUUCUACUGUAGAUGUUUAGCCUUAAUCCUAUUUGACUCCAAGAAACUUUUAAUAUAAUUUUGUUCAAACUCUUUCUUUGUUUGGCUUCCAUUGCAUCAAAAAUAAUUAUUCUCUUUCAGUUGCUUAAAGAAUAGUUGGAAAUCACUGAUAUGGCUUAGGCAUAUUAAGACUAAUAUACCCAUUGAACUGAAAGGCAAAGAAUACACAUGCACACCUACCUAAAGGGGAAGAAAAGAUCAAUUAUAAAGCUACUGUAGGCUAAAACAGAGAUAAUGUUUCCUUGAACCAGAAAGUUUAAAAAGCAAUGUGGAAAGAAUUUUAACAGAUAAGAGAAAGUUAGAUGUCAGCAGGAUAUUUUGAAUAGGUUAAAUAGCAAGGUGAGAAAGCAGAAUUUAUAUAUUCUGAUACAGGCACCUAAGAUAAAAUUCCAAGGAAUUUUGAGAGUAUGGAAGACAUUCUGGCCAUGUGGAAUUUCAGAAGCUCACAAGAUUGGAAUAAAAUGGCAAAGGAGAGGUCGCAUAUACAUCUUAUACCCCAAAAAUGAUAGAGCAAUAUUUUAUUGAUGAAAUAGAAUCAAUUAGUACUUAAGAGACAAUGUGGUGAAAGUACAGAAUAAAAAAUUUCUAUUAUUUUAGCUAGGAAAAGUUGUCAAAAUGGUUAAAAGUUUUGGAAUGAGUUUAUUUAAGGAAAAGGUGCAGUUAUAAACCAUCUCUUCAAAUAUGUCAUUCAUUUUACUUCAUGAUAAUUAUGUCUUUGUGUUUAUGUAUCUAGUUUUAGUGAAGGAUUUAGUAAGUAUGUUGUUUAUGGAUUAUAAUAGCAAAUACUUAGACUUUGAGAACCAUCCUUUCUCUUGUAAAUAUUCAACUCUGUUGCUGCAGGCAGCAGCCACUGUGUAAUAAUAAAACUUUAGUUUUGGAUACUGUAAUUUAGUCUCAUGACUUUUUAUAGUACAGAAUUACUGUUUGAAGUGUUUUUCAUCCAUUUAAAAUGUGAAAACUAUACAGAGGUAUGAGUUAACAUAAAACCAAAAUGGCUUAGGUUUAGGAUACAGGCUGUAAAUCAUUGACCCUUUUCCCUAACAGAGCUUAGUGUUUGAACCAUAAAACUCAGUACUUGUUGGUUAGUUGGUUGGUUGGUUGGUUGGUUUCAAGACUUGGUAUUGUAUUGUUGCUCAAGUUCAACUUCAGUUGCUCCCACCCCUGAGUUCUAAGAUUACAUGCAUGAGCCACCAUGCGUGACCCACACUGAAUACAUUUUCAUUUACUUCUGAAUAAAUUGAUGUUGAGUUUACAGUGUAUUUUGUGCAGUGAUAAUGCACGUGGGUCUUCAAACUCC
rnacentral:lncRNA from 1 species